AUGGCACCAAAGGAUGCAAGGAACAAUAAUGAUCUCAAGGGUAAAGGUAAGGCCGGUUCGUCCUCUGCCACUCCUAAAACUGCCUUUUCAUUGGUAUCAACUAACUGUGUUAAUGAAUUUGAAGACAUACACCAACACUGCCUUGUUGUGAAGCAAUAUGUUUGGAAACAUGUUAUAGCUACAUCAUUGGACAUUCCAAAAGUUGUUUGA